UACGUAGGGCGCAAGCGUUGUCCGGAAUUAUUGGGCGUAAAGAGCUCGUAGGCGGCUUGUCACGUCGAUUGUGAAAGCCCGAGGCUUAACCUCGGGUCUGCAGUCGAUACGGGCUAGCUAGAGUGUGGUAGGGGAGAUCGGAAUUCCUGGUGUAGCGGUGAAAUGCGCAGAUAUCAGGAAGAACACCCGUGGCUAAGGCGGUUCUCUAGUACGGUACUGACGCUGAGACGCGAAAGCGUGGGGAGCGAACGGG
rnacentral:rRNA from 1 species